rnacentral:rRNA from 1 species
GAUGAACGCUGGCGGCGUGCCUAAUACAUGCAAGUCGAGCGAACAGAUGAGGAGCUUGCUCCUCUUACGUUAGCGGCGGACGGGUGAGUAACACGUGGAUAACCUACCUAUAAGACUGGGAUAACUUCGGGAAACCGGAGCUAAUACCGGAUAAUAUAUUGAACCGCAUGGUUCAAUAGUGAAAGACGGUUUUGCUGUCACUUAUAGAUGGAUCCGCGCCGCAUUAGCUAGUUGGUAAGGUAACGGCUUACCAAGGCAACGAUGCGUAGCCGACCUGAGAGGGUGAUCGGCCACACUGGAACUGAGACACGGUCCAGACUCCUACGGGAGGCAGCAGUAGGGAAGCUGCCGAAAUGGGCGAAAGCCUGACGGAGCAACGCCGCGUGAGUGAUGAAGGUCUUCGGAUCGUAAAACUCUGUUAUUAGGGAAGAACAAAUGUGUAAGUAACUAUGCACGUCUUGACGGUACCUAAUCAGAAAGCCACGGCUAACUACGUG